GUCGGGAGCGGUCGGUGACUGAGAACGUAAAACUAGGUUCACUGAAUCAUAAUUUUCAUUUGUUCCACUAGCGUUAGUGUUAUUCUCAAGCACGAUCAACGACUGGAUAUUAUUCGAUCCGAACAUUUGGAAUAACUAUCCAUAAGACUUUUCGACCGAAUUUUGAUAUUGUAUUUACUCGAAUUAAACAACUAAGGGAAAAAAGCGUGGUUAUUCCUAGAGAAAACUUUGAUAUUUGACUAUAAGAAUUAAUUUUUUUGAGAAUGUGCGAUUGGAAAGGUAAAUACUUUAAAGCUCACUGAAGAAUCUACCUGCCUCCUAGGUAUUUUACUUUCAACUCAGUCCUUUAAGUAGAGAUAAAUUGUUUCCUUCUACCUUAUUUACAACUGAACUGGAUCUUCGCCAUUCUUCUUCCGGUAGUCUGAACCAAAGAGGAGGCCCUUCCACCUUCUGGAUUCCUUAAGUUUGGCUGCUAAAUCAUCUCUGGAGGGAAGAUUUGCCGGAUUAUAACGAUGAUGAAGUCCUGUAAGGGCAGGAUGUAAGAGUGGUACAGAAUGCCAUCGGGACAAGAAGAUCCUCUUUUGGAGCACGGAACUUACAAGAAGUCGGGUCACAAGAAUACAAUCCUGCAGACCGUCAAGAAACAGGUUCUGGAUAUUUUGUGACAGCAGCAAACUCGGAAAAUGAAAGUCUUCAGAAGCAACUUAAUCUACUUUCAGCAGGUUAAUUCUGCUAAAAUACCUUUCGAUUUAUAUAACAAAAGAUGUUCCAUCCAUUUUGAUAGCAUUAUUUUUUCCUGGACUGACAGUGACUAAGAAGAAAAUUUUAUUUUAUAUAAACUAAAAAAACUCGAAAUGUGGCUUCGUAUAACUAGACGUUUACCUCAAUCUUUGAAUCGUGUAUUUUUACCAUUGAUAACAAGAGUGGUUUUAUGUUUCAUAUCUUUGAAAGAAAUCCAUUUUCUGAACUUUAAAUUGUGAUAUUGAUUUCCAAGCAAUAAAGAAAGUACAAGAAAACCAA
rnacentral:lncRNA from 1 species